rnacentral:lncRNA from 1 species
UGUUCUUCUUUUUUUUUUCUUUUCUUUUUUUUUUUUUUUGAGACAGAGUCUUGCUGGAGUGCAGUGACACGAUCUUGGCUCACUGCAACCUCUGCUUCCUGGGUUCAAGUGAUUCUUGUGCCUCAGUCACCCCAGUAGUUGGGAUUACAGGCAUGUGCCACCACACCCGGCUAAUUUUUGUAUUUUUAGUAGAGACGGGGUUUCACUAUCUCUACUGACCAGUUUGGCCAGGCUGGUCUCAAACUCCUGACCUCAAGUGAUCUGCCUGACUCGGCCUCCCAAAGUGCUAGGAUUACAGGCAUGAGCCACCACGCCUGGCCUAUUUCAAGAUAUCUUUAUGAGAAAUUCCCAG